GAUGAAGAACGCAGCGAAAUGCGGUACGUAGUGUGAAUUGCAGAAUUCAGUGAAUCAUCGAAUCUUUGAACGCACAUUGCACCUCUCGGUAUUCCGGGAGGUAUGCCUGUUCGAGCGUCAUUUGUACCCUCAAGCUCUGCUUGGUGUUGGGUGUUUGUUCCGCCUCUGUGUGUGAACUCGCCUCAAAACAAUUGGCAGCCGGCGUACUUGUUUCGGAGCGCAGCACAUUUUGCGAUCCAGAUCAACGUACAGCGGCAUCCAAGAAGCCUUAUUUAACGCUCUUGACCUCGGAUCAGGUAGGGAUACCCGCUGAACUUAAGCAUAUCAAUAAGCGGACGA
rnacentral:misc_RNA from 1 species